UACGGAGGGAGCUAGCGUUGUUCGGAAUUACUGGGCGUAAAGCGCGCGUAGGCGGCUUUAUAAGUUAGAGGUGAAAGCCCGGAGCUCAACUCCGGAACUGCCUUUAAGACUGCAUCGCUUGAAUCCAGGAGAGGUGAGUGGAAUUCCGAGUGUAGAGGUGAAAUUCGUAGAUAUUCGGAAGAACACCAGUGGCGAAGGCGGCUCACUGGACUGGUAUUGACGCUGAGGUGCGAAAGCGUGGGGAGCAAACAGG
rnacentral:rRNA from 1 species